UGGGGCACCUCGGGGUGGCCGGACGUGGCCUGAGAUGCGCAGGACGAUGCGCGAACCCGUUGAACCUGAACCGGUUAGGACCGGCGGAGGGAAGGUUUCGGGACGUGCC
rnacentral:ncRNA from 2 species